rnacentral:lncRNA from 1 species
GUUUACAAAGGUCAUUUAAACCUGACCAGUGUCAUUGAGUCCUGCAGAGAUUUGAGCGCUUAUACCCUGACAGCUGAUCUCUUCAUAAAACACAGCACCACAGGGAGCCAUUUAUGACCGACGCUAUAAACACCAAUAGAAUUUUGGUGAUUUAGCGCAUCGGUGGCCAUCAUCUGUCAUAUGGAGCAGAGCAAAGCAGUUGACGUUCCACAACAAGAUGGCAUCAGGAAUCGCAUAAUAAGUCCUUAGGAGAGAAAAACACAGCGCAAAUUUCAAACUACAGUUGGUCAAAUCAUUACAAAACAGGCCCUUAACAAAUCACCCAGGCACUUUCCACAUCUGCUGCAUGUCAGCAUCUGCCAGACGCGCUCACCCGUCCCGGACGCUCACAGCAAGCCUUCAUUACUCCUGCUGCUGAACAGGUCUGACCUGAGAUAAAAAAGGAGCACCAGCACAUACUUUAUGCCUGCCAUCAGAGAAGGUUUUU